AGCGGAUUGAUUCGUCUUCGCUUGAUGAAUGGUUGUUAUACACUUAGCACCGAUAACACCAAAGUUAGCGGAUGGCGAAGC
ncrna:unclassified sequences RAGATH-28 RNA